rnacentral:rRNA from 1 species
CCUACGGGAGGCAGCAGUGAGGAAUAUUGGUCAAUGGGCGCGAGCCUGAACCAGCCAAGUAGCGUGAAGGAUGACGGCCCUACGGGUUGUAAACGUCUGUUAUAAAGGAAUAAAGUGAGGCACGUGGGCCUUUUUGUAUGUACUUUAUGAAUAAGGAUCGGCUAACGCCGUGCCAGCAGCCGCGGUAAUACGGAGGAUCCGAGCGUUAUCCGGAUUUAUUGGGUUUAAAGGGAGCGUAGAUGGGUUGUUAAGUCAGUUUGGAAAGUUUGCGGCUCAACCGUAAAAUUGCAAUUGAUACUGGCAGUCUUGAGUACAGUUGCGGUCGGCGGUCUUCGUGGUGUAGCGG